rnacentral:rRNA from 1 species
CAAUAGCGUAUAUUAAAGUUGUUGCGGUUAAAAAGCUCGUAGUUGGAUUUCUGUUGGGAACGACCGGUCCGCCCAUUGGGUGUGUAUCUGGCUUGUUCUCGGCAUCUUCUUGGUGAACGUUGCUGCACUUGACUGUGUGGAGCGCUACCCAGGACUUUUACUUUGAGGAAAUUAGAGUGUUUCAAGCAGGCAUAUGCCUUGAAUACAUUAGCAUGGAAUAAUAAGAUAGGACCUCGGUUCUAUUUUGUUGGUUUCUAGAGCUGAGGUAAUGAUUAAUAGGGAUAGUUGGGGGCAUUCGUAUUUAACUGUCAGAGGUGAAAUUCCUGGAUUUGUUAAAGACGGACUACUGCGAAAGCAUUUGCCAAGGAUGUUUUCAUUGA